rnacentral:lncRNA from 1 species
CUCUCUCCGAUCUCUCUCCGAUCUUCCUGCCGGGAUCCGCAACUCUCCUCUCUCCUUUAUCGCUUUUCUCGCUGUCGGCGCACCCUUCCCUUCCUUUGCUUCGUUCAUCGAAACCUCCUCACAUCGCCUCCUCCUCAGCGGCCAUCGUCAUCGUCGUCGCCGCUGCCUCCUCCUUCUUCGACGAGCUCGAUUCCGAGGGUGACUCCCC